AACCUGGUUGAUCCUGCCAGUAGUCAUAUGCUUGUCUCAAAGAUUAAGCCAUGCAUGUCUGAGUACCUGCCGACCUAAGGUGAAACCGCGAAUGGCUCAUUAAAUCAGUCAUAAUUUACAGGAUGUUGCUAAAUCCUUACUCGGAUAACUGUGGUAAUUCUAGAGCUAAUACGUGCAAUUGGGCUCCGACCUCGUCGGCACGCGUUGCCGUUUCGAGGGAAGGGCGCAUUUAUUAGACCAAAAACCGGGUGGACACGCGCGCGAGGGUUCGUAGCGGGGGUUUGUGGUCUUGUUGUGAAGGCGCUUCCUCCCUUGAUCUCCUCGCCGUCCAUGCCUCUUCGGUUACGUGGUGACUCUGGAUAACUAUUGCCGAGCGCUGAGGUCUUCGUACCGGCGCCGUAUCCUUCGAGUGUCUGCCUUAUCAGCUCUCGAUUGUAGGUUAUUCGCCUACAAUGGCUGUAACGGGUAACGGGGAAUCAGGGUUCGAUUCCGGAGAGGGAGCCUGAGAAACGGCUACCACAUCUAAGGAAGGCAGCAGGCACGCAAAUUACCCAAUCCCGGCUCGGGGAGGUAGUGACGAGAAAUAACGAUGUGGGACUCUUCCGAGGCCUCACAAUCGGAAUGAGUUCGAUGUAAAAACGUGGGCGAGGAUCCAUUGGAGGGCAAGUCUGGUGCCAGCAGCCGCGGUAAUUCCAGCUCCAAUAGCGUAUAUUAAAGUUGCUGCGGUUAAAAUGCUCGUAGUUGGAUUUCUGAUGCGGACCGGGAACCCAUCCAAGGCUCGCCCUCGCCUGCAGCAAGCGGCGUCCCGUCGGAGUUCUUCCCGUGUCCCUCCCUGCGGCGGCCGGUACUUUGGUAUCUUGGCGCGUCCGUCGAGGCUCUCGAGAUCGAACCUCUUCUCCGCCGAUAGUCAAGUGGCUCAGUGGUGCGUUCGUCGUCCCGUGCGGGCCUCCAUCAAAGGGGGUUCGGUCGUCGUCGUCGCUUCCGUUGCAUUUCGGGGCCGCUCUCUUCCCUCUCGCUCGGUCCGUCGUUGCCGUGAAGCUGACCGUUCUUAUCCCGGGCGCGCGCGCGCGGAAGACGGGAGGCCUUUAACUGCGUUCGCCGGCGAUGAGGGGGCGCGCCUUAUUCUCCUCUCCCCGCUAUCUAAGCGGAAGCCGAUCCUUCUCUCGCUCGUCCUUCGCGCGGGAAAGGCGCUCGUGUCGUUCGCGCAAAGACCCGAGAUUCGCUUACGCCGUCGUCGUUUUCUCGACGACGGGUCGGCGCUCGGGUGCGACGAUGCGGGCGCGCGCGUCGUUUGACUUUAAAAUGAGCGUUAGGAGCGGUCGCGCUCUCGUGGCGGGUGACGGUUUAAGCGCGGCGUCUCCUUAACUUAAAGUCGUCUCGGCGAUCCAAACGUUUUAGGUUCUCUCCCCGCCGCGCCGUCCGCGGCGUUGUUCGGUUCAGUGGCUUCGGCGGCCGUCGGAGGAGUUGGCGUUUACCCCGUAUGCGAAAAAAGGCGGUCGUGGCGUAGGCCGUUCAUCCCGGGGGUUACCGAGCGGGGCGUUGUCGUCGCAUUCGUCGUGUCCUCUUUUUCGGUCCGGUUGAACGUUCGUUUUUCUCCGAGUUCCCUCGCGGCGUCGUUCGGUUCCCAGUACUCGGGUAGAUCCCGCCGUUUCGGGGGGUGGUGCAGGCUCCUCGGCGGCGUCCUCGCUAUAGCGCGAGUUCGCGUGCCGGGUGGACUAUUCCCGGCUCCGUGUUUCUCAAAGCCGUCGGCUGUCACGGGGUGCUCUUCACCGAGUGUCCCGCGAGGCCGGCAAGUUCACUUUGAAUAAAUUAGAGUGCUCAAAGCAGGCAAUGAAAUGUUGAACACGCCUGGAUGGUAGCGCAUAGAAUGAUGGAACAGGACCUCGGUUCUGCCUUUUUCAGCCCGGUUUUUCGGAACCGAGGUAAUGAUUAACGGGGACAGACGGGGGCAUUAGUAUUGCGGGGCGAGAGGUGAAAUUCUUGGACCCUCGCAAGACUAACUACUGCGAAAGCAUUUGCCAAGAAUGUUUUCAUUAAUCAAGAACGAAAGUUAGAGGAUCGAAGGCGAUCAGAUACCGCCCUAGUUCUAACCGUAAACGAUGCCAACCUGCAAUCCGUCGGCGUCAUUCCCACGACUCGGCGGGAAGUACCCGGGAAACCAAAGUUUUUGGGUUCCGGGGGAAGUAUGGUUGCAAAGCUGAAACUUAAAGGAAUUGACGGAAGGGCACCACCAGGAGUGGAGCCUGCGGCUUAAUUUGACUCAACACGGGGAACCUCACCAGGCCCGGACAUCGGAAGGAUUGACAGAUUGAGAGCUCUUUCUCGAUUCGGUGGAUGGUGGUGCAUGGCCGUUCUUAGUUGGUGAAGCGAUUUGUCUGGUUGAUUCCGAUAACGAACGAGACUCUGCCCUACUAAUUAGUCGGCGGAUCGACACCCGAGAGGAGUUUUUCGUCCGCGGGGUUUUCGGUCGGGGGUAGCCGGGUCUCCUCUUUGCGUCGUUCCCAUCGCGGUCGGCUUUGUUCGCGCGGUCGGCGUGUCGGCGGGGCGCUCCGGCGGCGGCGGCUCUGGCGGGGCUUCUCGCGUUUCGGCGCGGGUUAGUUUCUUCGUCGGCUGUCGCAGUCGUCGGUUGUCGUUCUCGUCGCGCCCGGCUCGCGGCAUCGUUCGUUCCCGCGUUUGGGGUCGUAAGCGGCGUUAUCGUUGGAUGUUCUCGGUCCUCGUCCCGCCCCGCGCGGCGGAGCUCAGCGAGGGACGUCCGUCGGUAUAUCUUCUUAGAGGGAUCGGCAGUGUCUAGCUGCAAGAGAAAGAGCAAUAACAGGUCUGUGAUGCCCUUAGAUGUCUUGGGCAGCACGCGCGCUACAAUGUAGGGAUCAACGUGCUUUCCCCUCCGAAAGGAGCGGGUAACCCGUUGAAACCCCUACUCGAUUGGGAUUGGGGAUUGCAAGUGUUUCCCAUGAACGAGGAAUUCCUAGUAAGCGUGAGUCAUCAGCUUGCGCUGAUUACGUCCCUGCCCUUUGUACACACCGCCCGUCGCUACUACCGAUUGAAUGAUUAAGUGAGGGCAUCGGACUGGCGCCUCCGGUAGCCGUCGAUCGUAUCAAACUUCGCUUCUCUCCGAGGAGUGGGGGCGGUCUCCGGCACCCUAGGCUUGACGGAAAGAUGUCCGAACUUGAUUAUUUAGAGGAAGUAAAAGUCGUAACAAGGUUUCCGUAGGUGAACCUGCGGAAGGAUCA
rnacentral:rRNA from 1 species